UACGUAGGGCGCAAGCGUUGUCCGGAAUUAUUGGGCGUAAAGAGCUCGUAGGCGGUUUGUUGCGUCGGCUGUGAAAUCCCGAGGCUCAACCUCGGGUCUGCAGUCGAUACGAGCAAACUAGAGUGUUGCAGGGGAGACUGGAAUUCCUGGUGUAGCGGUGAAAUGCGCAGAUAUCAGGAGGAACACCGGUGGCGAAGGCGGGUCUCUGGGGCAACAACUGACGCUGAGGAGCGAAAGCGUGGGGAGCGAACAGG
rnacentral:rRNA from 1 species